UACGAGGGGUGCAAGCGUUGCUCGGAAUUAUUGGGCGUAAAGGGUAGGUAGGUGGUCUCGUUUGUCCGGGGUGAAGGCCUUGAGCUUAACUCAAGAAGUGCCUCGGAAACGGUGAGACUGGAGUCCUGGAGAGGGUCGUGGAAUUCCCGGCGUAGCGGUGAAAUGCGUAGAGAUCGGGAGGAACACCAGAGGCGAAGGCGGCGACCUGGACAGGCACUGACACUCAACUACGAAAGCGUGGGGAGCAAACAGG
rnacentral:rRNA from 1 species